rnacentral:rRNA from 1 species
UACGUAGGGGGCUAGCGUUGUCCGGAAUCAUUGGGCGUAAAGCGCGCGUAGGCGGCCCGGUAAGUCCGCUGUGAAAGUCAAAGGCUCAACCUUUGAAUGUCAGCGGAUACUGCCGGGCUAGAGUCCGGAAGAGGCGAGUGGAAUUCCCGGUGUAGCGGUGAAAUGCGCAGAUAUCGGGAGGAACACCUAUGGCGAAGGCAGCUCGCUGGGACGGUACUGACGCUGAGACGCGAAAGCGUGGGGAGCAAACAGG